rnacentral:pre_miRNA from 1 species
GAUCAAAUAGCAAAUCCAUUUCCACCGUUAAAAACUAGUGUGAUUGAAGAAUAACCAUACAAUUACAUGUGGUGUGCCACGGUUACCGCAUUUUGAUGUACAAGGACCAAUUUUUAACCGUAAAAAUGAAUGAAAUUUUGACA